rnacentral:rRNA from 1 species
GGCUCAUUAUAUAAGUUAUCGUUUAUUUGAUAGUACCUUACUACUUGGAUAACCGUGGUAAUUCUAGAGCUAAUACAUGCUAAAAAUCCCGACUUCGGAAGGGAUGUAUUUAUUAGAUUAAAAACCAAUGCCCUCUGGGCUCUCUGGUGAUUCAUGAUAACUUCUCGAAUCGCAUGGCCUUGCGCCGGCGAUGGUUCAUUCAAAUUUCUUCCCUAUCAACUUUCGAUGUUUGGGUAGUGGCCAAACAUGGUUGCAACGGGUAACGGAGGGUUAGGGCUCGACCCCGGAGAAGGAGCCUGAGAAACGGCUACUACAUCCAAGGAAGGCAGCAGGCGCGCAAAUUACCCAAUCCCGAUUCGGGGAGGUAGUGACAAUAAAUACUGAUACAGGGCUCUUUUGGGUCUUGUAAUUGGAAUGAGUACAAUUUAAAUCCCUUAACGAGGAACAAUUGGAGGGCAAGUCUGGUGCCAGCAGCCGCGGUAAUUCCAGCUCCAAUAGCGUAUAUUAAAGUUGUUGUGGUUAAAAAGCUCGUAGUUGAACCUUGGGCCUGGCUGGCCGGUCCGCCUCACCGCGUGUACUGGUCCGGCCGGGCCUUUCCCUCUGUGGAACC